rnacentral:ncRNA from 1 species
GGCUGACAGCAAGGUGCCUGACGCCCAGGCUGCCCACGAAAAAACAAUUACGGGACUGCUUCCGGCCCUGGCGGGGGCGAACUUGAUUUACGGUC